UAAUACAGAGGGUGCAAGCGUUGUUCGGAAUUAUUGGGCGUAAAGCGCGUGUAGGCGGCUUUGCAAGUCGGGUGUGAAAGCCCUCAGCUCAACUGAGGAAGUGCGCCCGAAACUGCAGAGCUUGAGUGCCGGAGAGGGUGGCGGAAUUCCCCAAGUAGAGGUGAAAUUCGUAGAUAUGGGGAGGAACACCGGUGGCGAAGGCGGCCACCUGGACGGUAACUGACGCUGAGACGCGAAAGCGUGGGGAGCAAACAGGAUUAGAUACCCUGGUAGUCCACGCCGUAAACGAUGAGAACUAGGUGUCGUGGGUGUUGACCCCCGCGGUGCCGUAGCUAACGCAUUAAGUUCUCCGCCUGGGAAGUACGGUCGCAAGACU
rnacentral:rRNA from 1 species